UUGUAAGAAGAAGGAAUUCAGACACAGACACAUACAAAGGGAAGGCGAUAUGAAAACACAGGGAAAAGACAGCCAUCUCUAAGCCAAAGAGAGAGGCCUUAGAAGAAAUCAACCCUGCUGACAUCUUGAUCUUGGACUUCCAGCCUCUGGAACUAGAAAGAGAGUCUCCUUCUGGCCUUGAAGAAGGAAACCGCCAUGUUGUAAGAAGGCCUGAAAGGGGGCCACAUGCAAGGAACUGUGGAGCAGCACCCAGGUGACAGUCAGCAAGAAAGUGGGACCCUCAGUCCUACAGCUACAAGGAACUAAAUUCUGCCAACAACCUUGUGAGUUUGGAAGAAGACCUGAAUCCAAAAUGAAAUACAGCCCACUGACGCCCUGAUGGCAGCCUUGUGAGACCCUGAGCAAAAGACCCAGACUUCAGGGCCUCCCACAGACAGUGUGCCCAGGGAUGCUUUGCCCGCCAUUCCACGUCCCAUGUGCCCCUACAUCCUUGUCGAGGAAGAAACCAAAAUAGCAUCCUUCACCUGGUCG